rnacentral:rRNA from 1 species
UACGUAGGUGACAAGCGUUGUCCGGAUUUACUGGGCGUAAAGAGCGCGCAGGCGGUCGUUCAAGUCGAGUGUGAAAGCCCCCGGCUCAACUGGGGAGGGUCACUCGAUACUGAUCGACUCGAAGGCAGGAGAGGGUAGUGGAAUUCCCGGUGUAGUGGUGAAAUGCGUAGAUAUCUGGAAGAACACCGGUGGCGAAGGCGGUCAACUGGCCCUAAACUGACGCUCAGGCACGAAGGUCAGGGGAGCAAACGGG